rnacentral:rRNA from 1 species
CUUGCACCGGGGUGGAUGAGUGGCGAACGGGUGAGUAACACGUGAGUAACCUGCCCCCGACUUCGGGAUAAGCCCGGGAAACUGGGUCUAAUACCGGAUAUGACCACCGNANGCAUNNNUGAUGGUGGAAAGUUUUUUCGGUUGGGGAUGGGCUCGCGGCCUAUCAGUUUGUUGGUGAGGUAAUGGCUCACCAAGACGACGACGGGUAGCCGGCCUGAGAGGGCGACCGGCCACACUGGGACUGAGACACGGCCCAGACUCCUACGGGAGGCAGCAGUGGGGAAUAUUGCACAAUGGGGGAAACCCUGAUGCAGCGACGCAGCGUGCGGGAUGACGGCCUUCGGGUUGUAAACCGCUUUCAGCAGGGAAGAAGCCUUUCGGGGUGACGGUACCUGCAGAAGAAGUACCGGCUAACUACGUGCCAGCAGCCGCGGUAAUACGUAGGGUACAAGCGUUGUCCGGAAUUAUUGGGCGUAAAGAGCUCGUAGGUGGUUGGUCACGUCUGCUGUGGAAACGCAACGCUUAACGUUGCGCGUGCAGUGGGUACGGGCUGACUAGAGUGCAGUAGGGGAGUCUGGAAUUCCUGGUGUAGCGGUGAAAUGCGCAGAUAUCAGGAGGAACACCGGUGGCG